rnacentral:misc_RNA from 1 species
AAAAUGCGAUACUUGGUGUGAAUUGCAGAAUCCCGUGAACCAUCGAGUUUUUGAACGCAAGUUGCGCCCGAAGCCAUCCAGCUGAGGGCACGCCUGCCUGGGCGUCACGCAUCGCGUCGCUCCCCACCAUACCUCCCCAACGGGUUGGCAUGGUGUUGGGGGCGGAUAAUGGCCUCCCGUGCUUGUGUUUCGGUUGGCCUAAAUAAGAGUUCCCUUCGGCGGACACACGACUAGUGGUGGUUGAAUAGACCCUCGUCUUUUGUUGCGUGUCGUGAGCUGUAAGGGUAGCCCUCAUCAAAGACCCCAUUGUAUCGUCUUCGGAUGAUGCUUCGACCGCGACCCCAGGUCAGGCGGGACUACCCGCUGAGUUUAAGC